CAUUUCCCGGGAGAAAGCUCCACGACCCGAUAGGUCGGGUAGAAAGCCCGGGCUCGCUCUCGCGACGAAGAAGGCGGCGAGUGGCGCGGGCCUCCUGAGUUCCUCCCUCCGGUGACAGCGAGCGAUUCCACCGCCUCCCUCCGGCGACUGAGGGCCACAUCGAUCUAUCCCUCCCCCCCGAGGUCCACUCCGACGCUCCUCUCUCAGGUAUCUUGGAAACUUUGGAGAUCAUAAGGAAGGAAGCCAUUGAUUGGGAAUUCAUAAAUUUGCAAUGUUUCCAUGGAGUGUUGUAUUUGCCAUGUACUCUAUGUAACAAAUUAUGUAUGUCAUUAAAAAUCUCUAUUUUAUUUGGAGUCAUCGUCCAAGACAACGAGGUGUAGUACUUUUGCUUCGGGGUGCAAAACUGAAAUGCUGUGAUAUACAAGAUUGGCACGUACUUUUUAUCUAUAGCGAUCUGAGUUUUUUUAUUU